UCGGGCUGCCUUCAUUCAUAAACAAACCGCCAUCGCGAGUGGAUUGGUGCACGAGGCGUAGUUGCACGAUCGCGGUAGGCGCGCGUGUCGUCGCUCCCGCUUCGUGGCGGGGGUGGACCAGACAUCGUCGUCGCGUGUGCGUUCGCUAUUCGUACUUCCGGACCGGCGGCGGGGCGCGAAGACAAGGAAUAUCCCAUACCUACAACUCCGGCCGUAUCCGGAUUCCGCGUGUGAAUGUGCAUGAAAGAAAAUACACAAGACGGAAAACAUGGCUUGAAGAUAACGCAGCUCGAACCUAAACAAACCCUUCGAUUGUUGUGAACAUAAGUGCUAGUAAGAUAAGAAUGAUAAUAAGGAUAAUGUGUUGCUAGAAUGUAAUUAUUUUAUUUCUGUACUAAUAUUAUACGGUUAUUCCCGCUGUUUGCCCUGGCAGGAGCAAUUAUCGCCAAUGAUCAUUUUGAGAACUAGCGGCCAGCGGAUAUACAUCGUUAAUUUGAAAAAUUUUCGGUGUUCUCCCAGACAAUGAAUCCGAAGACAUUCUAAAUCGAUUAUCUUCGCCCCCGGAGGAAACCGUGACGAACUAGCAGCAGCGCGAACCAAUCGAAAACGAACGGAUCAAGAGCCCGCCAAUAGCAAAAAUGGGAACGUAUUCUUGAACCGUAAUGCUCGUUUUCGGCGGGUUUGCAUCGCAACAGCUACAAGUACCACAUGAAGUCAUCCCGCUCCGGUUUGGAAGGUCAUGCGGAGAAUAGCCACACCUAGUUCUAUCCGAGGGUCAUUCGGUUGAUCUAAGGAUGGAAUCUCCAACUCAUCACUUCGACACGUGAUAUUUGUUUUUGUUCAAACCAAUUUCUAUAAGAAAAUCACAAAACUGUUAUAUAUUACUAUUUUUAUAAAUCACAAAGUUUCAAAUUAAUUAUGCCUUUUCAAAAGUGUUGAGAUAUAUUCUAUUACAAAUUUUCUUUCGUAGCAUAUUAGGUUUUAUUGAAUUUAGAGAAAGUUUAUGAAACAGUAACAGCCCACUAAAGUGAAAUGAAAGCUAAUAUGUUACUAGAUAUAGUUUGCAGGCAAUCGUUCAAAUGAUCAAGCUUAGAUUUUUCGACUUCAAAAAAAAAACUAUCCAUUGCAACUUCAUCAACUCCAUCUGAUGGAAGUCGAAAAGCAUAAAUUAGAGAGUUUGCGAUUAGAAGUCUAAUGAACGCGAGGAAAGUAUAGAUUGAAAAUCACUUUCCAAACAGUUUAUUUAUUAUGAUAUUGAAGCACAACUGAAAUCUUGUUGAAGCGCAAAAAAUGGAAGGAAAAAAGGUGCAAAAGAAGCGCUAAAGUAGAGAACAAAUACGUACAAUAGGUAGUUGCUUUUCUUCUCUUCCUAAAUCAAUUCUUAUUAACGAUAAUUUAUAUAGUAAUGACGUUUUCUUCUAACCGUGAAAUCAGAUAAUGGUAGAACAUUAUUGCACUGUUUAACUCGAAGCGAGCAAAAGACGCAAAACACAGAAUUUACCGUUUGGCGGGAGACUUCACGGUUUUUGAACAACUCAGUGUUUUCGAGAAAAUGAUUGCUUUCGUUGCAUGUAUAAUUGGCGAGGAACUUUCACAGCAUGAUACACACAUUUGAUGCGAGGAUUUAACAACAAACAAUAACUAUCAAUGCUGUUGAAGUAAACAAAAAGGAACUGAAGGGAGCUAAAUGAUGCUGUUAACUGAAAUUCGAUACGAAUGCCUCUGUAAUUAUUAGAUUGUAACAACAGAAUAGUGAAACAAGAAAAGUCUUAUUAUGGAACUAGAACAAAUAAAUCAUACAACACAUGUUUGUAGGGUAGCUACAGAGAAACCACCAUUCAUACCCCGCAUAGAGUUUAAGAGAGAUUUGAGCAUGAGAAGAUAUAAAAUAAAAGUUUUUAUCAGCUAGCACAA